GGAGAGGUGGCCGAGUGGUUGAAGGCGCACGAUUGGAAAUCGUGUAUACAAUAAUCUUGUAUCGAGGGUUCAAAUCCCUCUCUCUCCGCCA
rnacentral:tRNA from 1 species